AACAGACUAGUAGUGUGGGAAGGUGGGUGAGAUUGUUCUCAUCUGAUAGGGAACAGACUAGUAGUGUGGGAAGGUGGGUGAGAUUGUUCUCAUCUGAUAGGGAACAGACUAGUAGUGUUGGAAGGAAGGUGGGUGAGAUUGUUCUCAUCUGAUAGGGAACAGACUAGUAGUGUGGGAAGGUGGGUGAGAUUGUUCUCAUCUGAUAGGGAACAGACUAGUAGUGUGGGAAGGUGGGUGAGAUUGUUCUCAUCUGAUAGGGAACAGACUAGUAGUGUUGGAAGGUGGGUGAGAUUGUUCUCAUCUGAUAGGGAACAGACUAGUAGUGUUGGAAGGUGGGUGAGAUUGUUCUCAUCUGAUAGGGAACAGACUAGUAGUGUUGGAAGGAAGGUGGGUGAGAUUGUUCUCAUCUGAUAGGGAACAGACUAGUAGUG
rnacentral:lncRNA from 1 species